rnacentral:rRNA from 1 species
UACAGGAGGGUGCAAGCGUUAUCCGGAUUCACUGGGUUUAAAGGGUGCGUAGGUGGGCUAGUAAGUCCGUGGUGAAAUCCCCGAGCUUAACUCGGGAACUGCCGUGGAUACUAUUAGUCUUGAAUAUCGUGGAGGUAAGCGGGAAUAUGUCAUGUAGCGGUGAAAUGCUUAGAUAUGACAUAGAACACCGAUAGCGGAGGCAGCUUACUACGCGAUUAUUGACACUGAGGCACGAAAGCGUGGGGAUCAAACAGG